AUCCUGGAUUUUCUUUUCAUAGAUGGGAGUUCACAGCGAAGUGGAGGCCAUAGGGGAAGGAUGAAAAGAUCCUGCAGUUGCUGCCGCCACAGCUGUGGUUAGGGCAAGUCUCAGCUCCCUGGAGUGAGUGCUCCUGUGGGCCAUCAGGUGACAUGGGGACAGAUGCCACAGAGGAGUGCAGAGGAGGGACCAGGGAGUGCUGUGGGAUCCAGGCUCUCUGAGAAGGUGAUGCGUGAGCCGAGGCCCAGGGUUGGGGUGGGGUGGUGCCUGGGUGAGUGGAUCAGGUAGGGAGGCAGCGGGCUGGCGUGGGAAUGAGGCAGGAGGCCCAGCCGUGGGGAACUGGAGAUCCUGCCUGUUUGAGAUGGAAGCCACUGAACAGAUGAGGACUGAAGUUUGGAGUCAGAGGAGGAUGGUUUACUGCCUCUGAUUGGCACACAGCUGCCGGUGUGUGUGCGUUGUGUGUGUGCAAUGGUGAGGCCACUGUGCACCCGGGUAGCUGGCUUCUCAUGGGUUAAACACACGCUCACCACACCAGUCAGCACUCACGUCUUUACCCUGGAUCCUUUUCUAGAAAGUUAAACACACGCUUACCACACUAGUCAGCACUCACGUCUUUACCCUGGAUCCUUUUCUAGAAAGGAUCUGAAAAGUAAACAUUUUAGACUUUGAGGGCCACAGUCUCUGUUCCUGUCCCUGUUCCUCUCUGUGUUUGUCCUGCCAGACACACACCAUGAGGUUACAAAGGCAGGCGGUAGAUGAAUGUGGCCUGGGGACUAUUUGCCAACACCAGCCCCAGAAAAUAAAACUUAACGUUUGUGUAAAUAUCUAUACACAGGUAUUUCUACCCAGGCGUAAUCACCAAGUGCUGGAAGCGACACAAGCGUCCUUCGAUGGUGAGUGGAUGGCAGGGCCCCCAGGAGACCACAGGAAAGUCACGUAGAGAAGGCAUUAGAACCUUAAGAACAUGCCCCAUGCACCAGUAGAGUGGCCAAGCUUCCAGAACAAUGCAGGGACUCGGAGCCCAUCACAGAUGCCCCAGCAGUUACGCCGUCGUGCGCUUUAUGGUCUCAGGAAGUGACGAUGAGGAUUGUGAUUGAUUAGUGUUUACUGAGCCUUGCUGAUUGGAUUUCUGCAUGGCUUAUUGAAGAGGCACUAAAAAUCACGUAGGGAACAGCCUGAGAGUUUCUGGUUUGAAAUGCUGCCUUAUGUGUAAUAGCACUUAAUGUGGGUUUAUUAAGUCAAUCAAUCAACUAAUCAUCAAUCACAGUCCUCUGACCCAGCCUGCCUUUUCAUUGACAUCCCCACAUCUCUGUCGUAGCUGACAUUCUGAUCAAACAGAUGGGCGGCCCUUUCCAACGAGCGCCAGAUCACCUUUGUCUAUAUUCGCUCUUCUUUGCAAAUCCUUUGGAAGUCCUCCUCCACCUGGUGAAAUUCUGCUGAUUCUUGAAAGCCAGCUCCAGUGUCAUAGCCUUGGGGCCUUUCCCUGUGUCCUGGAAUCCAGUCCCUGAGCUGCCUGAUGGAGGAAGAAGCCCCAUUUCCUGGUUUACAUGGGCUGCCAUGUUAGUGCUGGAAUAGUGGUGAGCGUCCCCGUGUCGGGAAUGCUGGAGUAGCGGUGAGCAUUACCGACAAAGGAACGCUGGAAUAGUAGUGAGCGUUCCCAUGUCGGUGCUGCAGUAGUGAUGAGCGUUCCAUGUCGGGAACACUGGAAUAGUGAGCGUCCCCGCGUCGGUGCUGGAAUAGUGAGCGUCCCCGUAUCAGUGCUGGAAUAGUGAGCAUCCCCGCGUCGGUGCUGGAACAGUGAGCUCAGUGCCCCCUAUGUCAGGAAGGGCAGGAGCCCAAUCCCUCAGUGUAAGUCAGACUCCGGAGGUUGCUCUGAGAAGUGUGGAGGUGGAAAGGGAGAGCAGGAAGGGGCAGAGCAGGCAUGGCCCCAGGACCCAGUUAGGCAGCCCCCGGGAUAUCAGGCAUCAGCCCCAGAGCUUCACUCUUGGUGUAAGUUGGUCGUCUUCACCUAUUUCUAUAAAUUCAUUAAGAGAAAAGCAUAACGAUGUCUUUCUGAACAAUGGAACUUUGCAGAUUACAAAGGGUUUUUGAGAAUGCUUUGCUUUUGACAGCAGCGUCAAAUACAAUUCCUGCAAAUACAGGAAGCGCAGGUUCGGCAGGUAGCACCCUCCUGAGGCCUCGCGGCUCCCUGUGGGUUCGGGUUCGCCUCUUCCCUCUCUCGUUCCUGAGUCAGGUUCUGGGCUCUUCCACUGCAUAGACAUCCUUGGAGUGGCCACCUGGCUGCCAGGGCCCCUGUUCCACCUUCAGCAGGGAGCGUGUUCCAGCUCCAGCUGUUAUCAACAGGGGCCGUGAGAUCAUGGCCCAGCGUCUGCCCACCCAGCCAGCUGCAUCGGGCAGUGGCUGACUGUGCAGUGAGCAGCUCUCACCUUCUCUCUGUGGGCACAGCACCCACCCACCCACUCAGUCCCUCCAUGCCAGAUGGGAGGUCUGGGGAGCCCCUCCAGCAAACACGCACCGCGCCUUGAGGCCUGGAACAGGGAGGAAAUGCAUUGCCAAUAACCUCUAAGCUCACAGAGGCCAGCCCGGGGCAGAACCAUGCAGCCAGCAUGGGGCGUCUGCCAGCACGGGUGGGCAGUGAAGAGAGGACGGCUCCCCUGAAUCCUGGAGGGGUGGGGGCGCCAGCCAGGCACGAAGCUAAGUGGGCACGGGAGGUCACGGGUGUCUGAGCGGUGGGCCUGCAGCAGCAAGACUCUGGUCUGGUUUUUAUAGGCUGUGCGCUGGGCCUGCACGUGGAGGAAGAGCCAGCCCUGCUGGUUCUGAGGCCGCCUCUGCCCCCGGCGAGGGUAAAGGGGGCUCUCAGGGUGGCCUACCUGUGGCCCCAGGGCCACCCUUAGCUUCCUAGGAAUGGGCGGCCACAGAACCCUGAGCUGCUCCCAGAGAUCUUUCCUGGGGGAAGCCCUGCCCUCUCCUGCUCCCACCUGGCAGCAAAGAGAGGGCGGGGAAUGAGGGCCUGUGGUGUGCAGAAGGACUGGUCAGGGAGCAGCCCUUGAGGGUGCUUCUGGUAGGGUCCACCUGCCUCCCAGGGGUCUUCGAGAUGCACCUCUGCAGGCUUCUCCUCAGCACUCCUUAUCUAGCAUGUCAGCCCCACAAAGGGAGGCCUGGGGGCCUCUGUCCAUUGCUGGGUCCUCAGGGUCUGGCACAGCGCCCCGCACAGAGUCGGAGUGUGGUCACACUUGCUGAUGAACCAGCCUGGCCAACCCCCUGGAGCCGCAUGGUUCAGGGCCCACAGCUGGGGCCCUCCAGUGGCGCCAUCACAUGACAGACCUCAGACUGCUAUGUGCCCUCCCACCCUCCUGAUGUGGCACCCACAGACCAGCAGGGUCUUCAGGCAGCCCAUGCCCGAGGGGGCUCACCCGGCCCCACAGGCCUUUCCACGCUGGUUUAUUUUAAACUGUCAGAGUUGAUAGCCCAAUCCACUUUUUGAUGUAACUAUGAUGGUUUUAGGAGAUUUAGACAUGAUUUCUUUUUAUAGCAUGAAAAAGAAAAAUAGAACUGAAUAUGUGAUAAUGAUGAAUCCUUCGACUUUUGAGUCUGAAAUGGCUUCUAGGCAUGAGUUAUUGCAUAAUAAUUCAUGCCCUGUUGUGUCUUACUGCUUAAUAAGCCUAUGGAAAAUGGUGAUGUCGGAACUGCCUUUCUGUUGUCAUUUUGAUGCUGUUGAAAUUGUGCUUGUGUGGUAGUUGAGGGGAGAGCUGAGGGCCCUCACUGAUGAAGCCAUCAAGGGCACCCCCAGGAGAAGCCGUUCACGGGCUGCAUACCAGAGGCCAGAAAAAAAUGAAAAGAUCUGUUGGCAUCAACUUCUCCUCCAAGAAACCACAGGAUUUCCUACUAAUAUGGCCACCAGCUUCUCGCUCUCCAGGUAUCUCAGCCACAGAGACACUGACUCAGUCCUGGACAGACGUCUGAAGUUGACAGUGUCUUAGGUGGAAACAGCCAUUUGCAUUUGCGUAGGUGUGGGUUUGCUUGCACCCAAGGCCUCCAUCACAGGGCAUGGCUCCUGACAUCCAGCUCGAAAAGGGCAGAGAAUCCUUAGGGCCGCUGGUCCCACGUGGCGGACCCUGGUCCCUGCCUUUAUCAUGGCUUCGGGCCACAACUCACCUUCUCACUAGACCGUGAGCUCGUGGGGCUCAGACCCCUUCUGCUCUCACCUCAGAACCCACCAGCAAAGGCCUGUGGCCGAGCCAGUCACUGUGAGCCAGAGUGGGAUCAAAGCAGGUGUGAAAGGAGCGUCUGCGUUAGUAGCGCAGUCUGCGCAGUUUCACUAGUUGGGAAUCUUUAUUCUGAGGAGUUAAUCCAAGACGUGUUUUCUAAGCAGCUCAGGACAAGGACUGUGGCCCAGAUGUUUCUCUCACCACAGAGACGACUCUGACACGCACUGGGGCAUUGCGUGAACGCUUCGCGAACCCGUGCACCCGGCCACUGACCCGUCGCACAGCGAGCCCUGAUCUGCGCUGCAGGAAAAUGGCACUUGGGGAGGGAAGAAGCCCCGUGGCCAGGAGCAGCCUGGGCCAUGUGUGUUACACACAGCAAUAGACGGAUGCUCCUGCCCCUCUCUCUGUCCACCACUUUCCAGCCAGGAGACACGGAUCAAGUCCCUUCUCCCCUCUGGGCCUUCGUGUACAACACAGGGAAGCUGACCUGUGACGGCCAGGCUCUUUCAGGUCUGGGCGGUUCCUGUGCCCCAGGACCAGGUGUUCAGGCCCAUCAGGCCCCAUCCUCUUCCCAGGGCAGAGCCAGUUCUGUCUGGGGGCUCCCUGGGAAGAAUGCUGGGAGUCAGGGUUAGUGAGGACAGGGCACGAGCUGCACCCUGAGGGCCACUGGAGGCCACAGAGUCCUGUCCACACCGUGACUGUGACCCAGGGGCCAUCCACAGGUUUCCUUUGUUCUGGUGAGCAGGCCACAGAAACUGGCUCCAGCAGCCAGCGGAGCUGCAGAGUGAUCAGGCGACUGCUAUCGAGGGCGAUUCCGCUGUCGCCGCUGCCCUGAGGGACUCUCUCAAGGCCUGGGGACCCCUCACCCCUCACGGAAGACUGGCUCACUGGCACGGCCAAAAGCAACUUUGUUUUAUCUUUAGCCGGCUGCUUGUGCUCGUGUAUUUAUACACAGGAGAAAGUGCAGCUGGCCAUGGGAGAAGUUCAUUUUGUUUAAUUUUUAAUCAGAGACCACUGCAGAGUUGCACUCGACAAAUUUGAGUGCAGAGGAGGGCUCGUUGCAUGGGGCUCCUAAGCUCGUGGACAGAGCCCCAGGCCACUGCCUGACCCUCCCAGCUGGAGUCAGGCCAGACUCCAGCGACACUUCCGGAAUGCUCCACACAGCCGGUGUCCUGCUUCCCCACCCUGGGAGCACCUCACGCGAGUGUCCUCGGUGAUUCUGCAUCUUUAAUCCUCCCCAUUUUUUGUUUGUCUGUUUUUGAGACGGAGUCUCCCUCUGUCGCCCAAGCUGGAGUGCAAUGGUGCAAUCUCGGCUCACCACAACCUCCACC